AGGGGUUAUGAGAAGGUUUGCAAAUUAAGAGAAUAAUGAUCUUCGGUUUCUGACCUCCUGGCACGGCGGCAGUAUUUAUCAGGAGGCGCAUGUGACUAGUUAAGACACAGAGCCCCAGCUUGAAGGAAACAGCUGCUGGCGGCGUGCUCUGGCACUUGGCAGCUGGACAGGCAGGGUGCUGAUGUGAGGAAUACCGAGACAAAACCACCCCAGUUCUCCAAAGUACCUGUUAUUCAGGCUGGAUAAAAACUUCUAUAGAUUGUGUCCCCAGUGCAUUUUCUGAUGAUGAUAAGUGCCCUUAAAAUUCUUUCAGACCUGAAUAUCUAUCUGUGUGAAACUGAUAGCAUCUUGAAGUAUAAUUAAGGAC